rnacentral:lncRNA from 1 species
CUACUUCUCUUACUUCUUUAGAUAAAGCACCACAAAAUAAUAAUGGAAAAAGAUAUUUUGAUAAUGAUAUGAAUAAUAUGCUUCGGAAUCCUAAUUAUAAUGCAUUGGAAUCACCUUUAGAUAAUUACCCACAUAUGCAUAAUUUCCCUUUUUAUAAUUAUCCUUAUAAUAUGGCAAAUACAAAUGAACAAACUACAGCAUCACCCAUUCCAUACUACCCAGGGUUAUAUUAUGUACCUGUAUUUGUAUGUGAUCCGACAAUGAGUAAUUAUGCAACGAAUGGUUUAUAUGAAGCAGAACAUGGAGGAGUAGAAUGGCAAACUGGUAUAACUGGAGCAGAACUAGAGACACAGAAAAAAAAUGGAAAAAAUAAUGGUAAACAAAAUGACGAAGAAAAUGAUAAAACGGAAGAGCAUGAAAAAAAAAAUAGACGUAAUAAAAAAGUAAACAAAACAAAUAAUAAUGAAAAGAAUAUGAUGAUAGCUGCUGGAGAUUUGAAACCUUUGCAAUUUCGAAAUGGUGCUGAAUGGGACAGUGAAAAUGAAGAAUAUAUAAAUUCAGAAGUACAAUUUAAGCAAAAAAUUACACAAAAAAAAAAAGAAAAAAAGAAAAAAGAAUAUAUGGGUAAUACCAAAUGGUAUGAAAUUGAACGUAAGUUAAAUAAUUGCAGGGGUGAGAUUGAGGAGGACUCUGAUGAUAGUAAUACUAGUGAUGAGAGCUAUUAUAUAAGUAAGGACACGGAUAGUUGUGAUGAUAAUACAAAAUAUAGUGAUGGAAAUGAAUGUAGGUCGGAUUUUAACAGUAGUGGUAUUAAUAUAAAUGACACUGAUACAGAUGGUAUUAACAAAUGCAAGUCUAGAUCAAAGAAAAAGGAAAAACAUCAUCAUGAUAAAUUGAAAAAGAAUAAAAGCAAAAAAAUAGGUAAUAAAAACUAUUUAGAAACAGAUAACAGUAAUUUCAAUUAUGAUAAUUUAUAUAAAAAUUACAAAAUUGAAUAUCUAAAAGAAAAAUUAAAAUGGGCUAAUGAAUAUAUAAAAAAAAAAGAAAAGCAAAGUAGCACUAAUCAUCAUAAUAAUAGAGAAAAAAAAAAGAUUAGAAAAAAAGGACCAGAAAAACAAAAUCAAAUUAAUAACAAAUACAUUGAUAAUAACACUUUAAUGAACGAUUUUCAAAUGGAAAAAAGUAAAAAACAUAAGGAACGUUUAAAUGAUAUAAUUAACUUGUUUUUACCUCAAAAAAAUAAAAGUGAAAAUGUUUUAGAUUUAUCAUUAAAACUUGCAAAAAUACCUGAUAAUACUAAAAAUGAUUUAAUUAAUAUGCUUAUGUCAUGUAGAGAUUUAGAAGGAUUAAUUGAAGAACAACAUUGUGUUCUUGACAUGUUAGAUCAUGAUUUAAAAAAAGUAAAUGAAAACUUAAAAUUACCAACACAAUGGGAUAACUUUGAAAAUUUUGAAAUUUUACAAGAAAAAAUAAUAAGUGGAGAAGAAAAAUCAGUACCUUUGAAUAGCACUCCUUU